rnacentral:lncRNA from 1 species
GUUAUUCUGUAUGUUGGUAAAUUGAACACCAAUAAAAAAUUAACUUAUUAAAAGAAAAAAAGAAAAAGAGGUGAGGCUCAGCGGCUAAGCGUGCUUGCCUUCGACUCAGGGCGUGAUCCCAGGGUCCUGGGAUCGAGUCCCGCAUCCGGCUCCCUGCAUGAGGCCUGCUUCUCCCUCUCCCUGUGUCUCUGCCUGUCUCUCAUGCAUAAAGUCUUAAAAAAAGAAAAAAAAAAAAGGAAGAAAGAAAGAGGCGAGCCUGCGGGCGAAGGGCAGCUAUAGGCUCCAGGGUGCGGUGAGGCCGCGGGGUGCAAGGGUCCGGUGAGCCUCCGGGUGAGGCAAGGCUGUGGGGUGUGGCAAGCCUCCGGGAUGCAGCGAGGCCGCGGGGUGCAGGCGUGUGGCGAGACUCCAGGGUACAGGGGUGCAGCGUGGCUCCGGGGUGCAGCGAGACCGCGGAGUGCAGGGAUUCAUCCCUCGUGAAGAUGGAGAAGACAAGUUCACGUCCUGGUUCUCAAGGCUUGUGAGUGGGCAUAGAUUUGCAAGAAAAAGCAAGUUAGGUGCUGUUUUAGGGGUGUGUGUGGAGAAGCCAGAGAAUACGCAGGAAGCUUGUGUCGACUUCGUGUUCAGCCUUCACUCUUCUCCUUGGGCCAAGCUCGUGAUGACUUUGUCUCUCCCUUUCUGAUCCUGGCGACGUUACCAUCUUUCAUCUCCCCGGUGUGCAGGCCCUGCUCUCCAGAAUAGAGCUGAGGUAAGGCUGCGACGGGGACCCUGCUGGUCAGUCCCUGAUGCUGAUUCUGGAGACAUCCCCCCUCCCUAAAAGCACGUUCAUG